CCUGCGGAAGGAUCAUUACCUAGAGUUGCGGGCUUUGCCUGCCAUCUCUUACCCAUGUCUUUUGAGUACCUUACGUUUCCUCGGCGGGUCCGCCCGCCGACUGGACAAUUUAAACCACUUGCAGUUGCAAUCAGCGUCUGAAAAAACUUAAUAGUUACAACUUUCAACAACGGAUCUCUUGGUUCUGGCAUCGAUGAAGAACGCAGCGAAAUGCGAUAAGUAGUGUGAAUUGCAGAAUUCAGUGAAUCAUCGAAUCUUUGAACGCACAUUGCGCCCCUUGGUAUUCCAUGGGGCAUGCCUGUUCGAGCGUCAUUUGUACCUUCAAGCCUUGCUUGGUGUUGGGUGUUUGUCUCGCCUCUGCGCGUAGACUCGCCUCAAAACAAUUGGCAGCCGGCGUAUUGAUUUCGGAGCGCAGUACAUCUCGCGCUUUGCACUCAGAACGACGACGUCCAAAAGUACAUUUUUACACUCUUGACCUCGGAUCAGGUAGGGAUACCCGCUGAACUUAAGCAUAUCAAUAAA
rnacentral:rRNA from 1 species